rnacentral:ncRNA from 1 species
UCUUAUCCAGAGAGGUGGAGGGAAAGGCCCUGUGAAACCCAGCAACCAGUAUAUAUUAAGCAAAAUUAUUGCCUAAAGUGGUAUUGAAAUGACUGUCUUUAGUGGAAUGAUUCAAGCGAAUAUUAUAUACAAUGGUGCUAAGUCCUGCAGCAAUUAUGCUGAAAGAUAAG